UACGUAGGGUCCGAGCGUUGUCCGGAUUUACUGGGCGUAAAGGGCGCGUAGGCGGCGCGGUAAGUCACUUGUGAAAUCUCUGAGCUUAACUCAGAACGGCCAAGUGAUACUGCAGUGCUAGAGUGUGGAAGGGGCAAUCGGAAUUCUUGGUGUAGCGGUGAAAUGCGUAGAUAUCAAGAGGAACACCUGAGGUGAAGACGGGUUGCUGGGCCAACACUGACGCUGAUGCGCGAAAGCCCAGGGGAGCAAACGGG
rnacentral:rRNA from 1 species